rnacentral:siRNA from 1 species
GAGGCUUCAGGGCAAAACGUCA